rnacentral:ncRNA from 1 species
UGUCUCCUCCAGUUUUCUCAGAAGAUUGGAUUGCCGCCCGCACCGUCAAGGUAGCGGGCGUUUUUUU